UCCCACUGCAUUUCAAGGAUCUAUUUGGCAUGGCAUUGGUGGUCAAGAAUAUUAAUCUUAUAUCAUUAUAUGCAAAUCAUCACAAUACAUUAGAGGGUUAAUAUACUAUAGAAUGAGAAUUUGACGAAUGAAUAUACAGGAAAAAUAAACAAUUCACCAGGGAAUUCAAUGCCUAUAAUUAAUACAUGGUGUUGAGUGUAAGCCAUCCAUAACGUACAAUUUAUUUGGGUGUUGUAAUUUUUGUCUUGUAUCAAUCUCCCUAACUGGAGAACUUCCAGCGCUCCUGCUGGAUCCCCAGACUUUACCUCUUUUCUUGGCUGUGCAAAAUUCUUGACUCUUGCUUAUUCCUGGAACCAAUCUCCUCCUGCACACCUUGUCUAAUAAAUCUCUGUCUUCUUUAGAAAGUUGAACGCUGUUGGUUGUAGUACUGUAGUUGAGGGAUAAAAGUUGUUGCAUCUUGGUUUGGAAAACCAGUCCCUUCCGAGUAGGAGAUCGAACUGGCAUAGCUUUGAAACCAUGAUCUCUAUUUCUUACUAAGUUUAUCAACUGAUGAAGCAGUGUCACCAAUUCAAGAAUGUAUGUGUCAGUCGUCUGCUUGUGAGCAUGGUAAAGUGUCUGUAGGCGGAUCAGGUUGUUCUGUGUUGUUGAAUUCUUGUCAAAUUCAUUUCUAUCAGAAAAAACAAGCAGCAUCAAGAUUAAUUCCACCAAAUAUGAAGCAUCAUUUUCUAGUAGAAAUUAGGAGAGAGAUGAAUGGGAAGAAAUGUCAACUAACCCAGUAUUUGCCCAUUCUCCAACCCACCCAAAACCUUGGUGUGCUUUGUUGGUGUUGGUGGCGAUGGGUACAAGCCACUGCAGAGUCUUUUCCAUUUCAGCUUUCACCUGAGCUACUGUGAGCUCUUCCUUAGUGUCAACCAUCUGUAGUCGGGAACGUAGAGCUGUCUUAACACUGGUAGGCAACCCAUGAUAUAAAUUAUCCCUUGUAUUAGGAGGAAGGGAGGUGGGGCGAGAUGCCUAAUAAAAUACAAUUUUUCUUUAAAAAUAAUCCCCUGAGAAGAGGAAAAGGAAAAAGGAAAGGAACGGUAUACCCACAAUGUUGUCAAUCUGGUUGAUGACAUUAGCAUAGUGCAGUGCGAGACCAGAUGCACCUAGCGUUUGAGGAUUCUUGCCAGGCUCCUCACUAGCCAAUCUGACACCAUUGUUUCCAAAUGCUUCUAAGAUAGCUUGGUGUAAGUAGGUAGCUAUAUCAACAAGCUUCUCCACAAUCUCCUCCAAAUUUUUUGACCAUAGUGAUUUCUUUUUCAAGCUCCUUACAAGCUUUCUUUGUUGUUUUAGCUCACUUUGUAAAAUUGUGAGACUCUCUCCUUUUUUGGGGAGAUGUAAGGACUCCACUUCGUCAAGCCUCUGCUGGUAAUCCUGUUCAAAUCUGUCCAGAGCAUGCAAUUCAUGAUAUAAUUCAGAGGUAUGUUGAGCCAGAGUAGUCAACUCCUGAAUUGUGGUUUCUGCCGCUGCUCUAGGUUGUCUAUCAGCGGAAUACUCUGAAUCUAAUUUUGUAAAAUAUCGACCCAGGCCAUGCCAUUGUGGGUCUUUACAUAGAUCUCCAAACCGAAUUACUUCACGUGCAAAUACAUCAAAUUCCUCUCUUUUAUCAGCAGCAGCAAGAAUUAGCAACUCUUUCACAUCAGUCGAAACAAGUUGUUGUACUCCUUUUGAAUGUAAUAUCUCCUUUUUCAGGAAUUGAACAUUUUCUUCUGAAAGUGAUUGAAAUAAGUUUGCACCUUUGGCUAUUGUGUUAGCUACUUCAAAUGCCAAUAUAGAUAUUCUGUUCCCUCUAGAAGCCAUGCCAGAGACAAAGCUACUCCUGGCAUUCAGAUUUGACAUGCUACUGCCAAGAGUGUCUAAAACUUCAACUGCUUUUUUCAGGCUCACAGCCCCAGCUUUUCCAAUAAAUGAACUCCUCUGGCCAUCCUUGGCAGCUCCACCCCUAGCAGGCGUUGACGGCUUAAGUUCUCUUGAGAAAGACAAGAACAGCUCACCGGAUUUAUACCUCUGCGGUGUGGUAGUCUUGCCAAAAUUAUCAUCAUUGUUAUUAGUAAAGGAAUGAAAAUUCUCUUUAUGCUUGCUAAAGCUCUUAAUUGAGUUUAGCUUCCCAGAAAACCCAGGAUUUUUCUGUGCUGCAACUUUAUCAUGCUUUCCUUUCGUCCCUCCAGAACAAACUCCUCCCAUCGUUCUUGAAAAUUCCUUGGAGCUCAAACAAUUUCCUGAUCAGAGAGAAUGGAAUUGGGAUUAAGAAGAAGAGAAGAUUCAACAGCAAGGACAAGGUCAGAGCAGUUACAGUAGGAAGAAGCAAAGGGAAGAUAGAAGAUUAUUAAAGAGUUGGUUUUGAGAAAUUCUUUGAAUGAACGCGUUUAUUUUGGCAGCAAUGGAAAUCCCGUGGGGGAAUGGAAUUUUUGACCGAGAUAGAAUUGAAUAAUAAAGGAGAAAUAAGGCAAAGAAACCGAAAGGAUUGACUAUUACAAAAAAAAAUCUCAAUUAAAUUAAAUAAAAAAUAGAAAUGGUGGUGGUGGUGCUGCUGUCAGUUGUGUAGAUGUACAGAUAAGAAUGGAGAACAGGCUCAGAAGGGGACACAAC
rnacentral:misc_RNA from 1 species